rnacentral:lncRNA from 1 species
GAACUUUCAGGAAAGGGCAGCUGUUAAGAAGCCGUUGCUGGGGCCUAAAGCAAUGGGAUAUUGUGGAUGACACGCAGCACAUCAGCGAGCCAGGGGACAUCCUUAAGGCUGUUUCAUUCCUCUGAGAUUGUCUCUUCUUCAUCAGUGACCCUGCUGCACCCCCCAUGCCCGGUGGAGUCUCACACACUCAUAUAUCCACCAUAAGUUUAAUAUCCUUUAUAUGAGCCAAAUGUGCAACUGUGACUGCAGCACAAACCUACUUAUGAAUGCUUUCUGACAUACACCCACCCCUGUCAUAAACAGUAUUUUUUCAUAUUUAUACACUUUCAGUGCAUUGUCAUUGCAGACCUUUAUUUUCCACACAUUUAUAUAGCUCAUAAAAAUAGGUUAGUAUGUUAACUGGAAACAUGUACAUAAGGGUAUUUAACCUUUUAUCAGAUUUUUGCAUUUUCCUUUUGCACAUUAGUUACAUGCAUAAUUUUCUGUGUGUUUGGGAAGUGCUUCAUGCCUUACGUGUUGCCCUAAUUUAGUCCCAGC